rnacentral:lncRNA from 1 species
AGAGGGUAAUUGGCUCUAGUCGUGCUUACUCGCGCCUGAAAAGAGACUAGUACUGUGUAUUACACAAUACGCUACGCGUGUUACGAGAUCCCAACCAUGCGAGCGCGCGAAAACACGUAAUGUUAGUUCCAAGAUUUAAUACCAAUAAAUUUCUGUAUUACUAUGAUUUCUAAAAUUUGAUACUUCGGAGUUGAUACCGAUAGACCGCUGGAUUGUGACAGUGUUGGCUUGACUCCUCUUCCCUUGAUGAUGACCUGUACAUACUCGACAAGUACAUGUACGUUACCUACUUGGAAAGCUUCACUUGAACAUGCUGACAGCAAAGACGGAAUUGCAGCAUUCGUUGCAGAGAAAAUGGCUACGUCACCUACGUGGAAAGCUUCACUUGAAUGGGCUGAUAGCAAAGGUGGAAUUGCAGCAUUUGUUGCAGAGAAAAGGGCAUGACCUGUAAAUACUGGAGAAAUUCGUCACCAUUCGUGGAAAGCUUCAGUGGAUGGGUUGACAGUAAAGACAGCAGUAGCAUGCAUAACAGACAAAACUAUGACAUAUAGCUACUCGACAAGUAUGUCACCUGCGUGGAAAUUGUCCGUGAUCAACUUCAGUGGAACAGGCUGACAGGGAAGAUGGCAGGAGCAUACGUUACAGAGAAAAUGGAAUUUAGUUGCUGUGUGAAAAUCAGCCUGAUCUGCAUUCACUCCACUGUGGAGUUAGAGAGAGAUAGCAACACAGCUUUACUACUUUGAGGUCUCUAGAAGCCAUGAUGGCACAGUCUGGUUGGUAUGCUCUUCCUGAUCAGGCUUUCUCCAUCCCUAGACCAUACACCUCGGGACACUGCACAGUGCACGCCCUACAGCAUCUGUGAUGAGAGCAUCCCAAGACCUCCAUCACCUGACCCAGAGCACUGAUGAAGGUUAAUGGAUACAAGAUUACAGCCAACUCAAGACUAGAGAUCCUGGAAACACAUCCAGACCAGAUGGUCUCCUAUACCCAAGGUCAGAUUAGGACCACUUGUUCUAUCACCCUCCCUUAGGCAGUACCUCCAACAAUAUUUAGCAAGUCCAGAAGCACAAAGAUCGCGAGAUCAAUUGGUAACUAGCUGAACUCAUUUAGAGCAUCCAGCACUGGUUCCAUGAUCACUGCAUCUGUGAAGCCAUCAAGAUCUCCAAGCACUGCAGAGUACCCCAAGACAUCCAUUUUGCCAUCAGCACCUAGCCCCUCUUGGACUCUCUCCAGACAGUGUGAAGAGUCAUCUCUACUCAAGGACAAUUUCCCCACCCUGCCCAAGUUGCCCCUUUAGCUUAGAGCUUAUGGGUCACCUUUAUCCUUGACAACCUUGUCACCUGACCAGUAUCGCUGCCCUAGCUGCGACCUUCAAGCCUCCAUGCUGUAACACAUCAGGUUCCAGCAAUAGUCCUCUGAUGCUACUAUGGGCAGAUAUGCCGCCCAAAACAUUCUCUGGUUCUCUCCAGAACCUCACAUAUUCACAAAGACAUAUUUAUAUGCAGUUACUGCAAACAAUCUAAUGUUGCUUCCUUCAUUAAGUACUAGUAAGUCUUUGAUAUAAAAUCCUGUUUGCAUGGGCUACAAGCCUGGAUUUUUCAUUUGCUGUCAAUAAUUUGUUUGUACAGACAUCAUUUCCUAUAAAUCUGUUUGAUUUGCCAUAUUUGACAUCUGGUCGUGUCAAAUUUCUGUAUGCGAUUGUUUUCAUGAGCUAUCGUCAUCUAAUGUAUUGAUGAGUGGGAAGGUGCUAUUUAUUGUGCAUUGUAAAAAGUAAACUCAACUCGUUUUUUAUCUGUGUUUGGAAACCUGAUGAGACGACUUUGCAAGUGAUAAUUAUGGAGAUUACUCAUUAGCACAUCUUCAGGUUGUGUGCAACAUUGUCAGCCACUGUGAGCCAGCAGCCCUCACUUGGGCAGGCCUGUGGGCCUCCCAUUAUGGAAAGGACCAGCAUGGCACCAGUCAUGAGGAAGUCACUACACAAAUACAAGAACAACCAAGAGGAAGAGGUGGGCACUAGAGGGAAAUUGAAGGGGAACCAUAAAAAAAACUGGAUAAUGCAUUCUUUAAUUGAAUUGUAUGUUGUUUCUGAAAGCAGAGUCUGCAUUUUUGAAGUUUCCAGCAAACAAGAUGUAGGCCUACUUCUGACAAAAUGCUGGCCAUCCCUGGACAGUAUGAAGUCAGCACCACAACAGCUAUUUGGUGCAAAGCCAUUUCUGACUUGGUCCAUUACACCUUUUAGUGUUCAGUCAUCUCUGAUAUGGCAUUAUGACUGUGACAUAUCUGUGAUAUUUGUCAUUUACAAAUAAAUUUAGUCAUAUUCAAGAAACAUUAAUCUCAGUUUCCUUCAAAAAAGCUGUAUAAUUUGUAUGUUUGCACUGUUCUGAAAAGCACUGUUUAUUGCUCACAAUAAUUUUGCUAGUCUGCAGUCUUCAAGCAUGUUACGUGUCGGCUUUUGUUUAUAAAAGUACAUCUCUAAUAAUGUAGGCAGAACAAAGCAAUGGUUUACAUGUAUAUUUGUUUUACUCGUGUGCUAUCGUGUUGUAAUUACACAACUUAACAGGAGUAGACUCCACUGUACUUUUGGACAGUUUCAAUGAAGACCCAAAAUUAAUCCACGCAUCCUUUAGCUGAUCAUAAUUAUGCCUUAUAAUUUUUCUGUCAAGUUUAAUUAAGACCAGAGGAUGUUUUGAGCUGGUACAGGCAGUGCACAUUUUAAUUUGCUCUUCAUGCAACAAAAAAUACCAAGAAAAACUGAUUCCAAAAACAAUGAACUGUAUUACUGUAAUCAACUGUAAAAGCAAAACGUGUACUACAAGUGGGUGCAUUUUUUCCAGUGUGUUAGAUUUGUGUUGGUUAGUACACUCCUUCAUUACCAAUCAAACAAUGAAAUAAAACUGUUCAGAUAUGCUGACAAAAAUGUAAAGGACUUGUCCCCUGUAUUAAAUUGUGAACUGUCUUUAUUGGAAACUUUCCCGUGAUCAUUGAAUACACGAGGUUCCAGGAGGCUCUGUGCGAGCAAGCUGAAAUCAAAAGAACUGGCAAAUAAUUAUUUUAUCAUUUCUUUGUGUUAUCAAGCACAAAAUGUCAUGGCAGUUUCCCAAGAUUAGCUCACUAUUUACGUAGAAGCGUUUUACAACUGGCGGGCUAAACCCCAUCAUUUAAGUCAGAACUUUAAUCUUAUUCCCGUGUAAUAUUUUUAACUAACUUAUGCUGAGUAUGAUGAUGUAAUGUAGUGAACUUAAUAAAAAAAAUUAAUGGUUAAGACCAAUGCAUAUGUGACCAAGUACAUCGUAAUCAGGAAUAAGUCGCUGAGGCCGGUUUACGUAA